rnacentral:rRNA from 1 species
CCUACGGGUGGCUGCAGUAAGGAAUAUUGGUCAAUGGACGCAAGUCUGAACCAGCCAUGCCGCGUGGAGGAUGAAGGUCCUCUGGAUUGUAAACUUCUUUUAUUUGGGAAGAAACUCCCGAUUUCCAUCGGGAUUGACGGUACCAGAUGAAUAAGCACCGGCUAACUCCGUGCCAGCAGCCGCGGUAAUCCGGAGGGUGCAAGCGUCACCCGGAUUAACUGGGGCGUAGGGGUGCAUAUAUGUGCAGGUAGAAAUGUCCGGGCUUAACCCGGAAACUGCCAUUGAUACUAUUUGUCUUGAAUACUCUGGAGGUGAGCGGAAUAUGUCAUGUAGCGGUGAAAUGCUUAGAUAUGACAUAGAACACCCAUUGCGAAGGCAGCUCACUACGGAAAUAUUGACGCUGAGGCACGAAAGCGUGGGGAUCAAACAGGAUUAGAUACCCCUGUAGUC